rnacentral:misc_RNA from 1 species
GAUGAAGAACGUAGCGAAAUGCGAUAAGUAAUGUGAAUUGCAGAAUUCAGUGAAUCAUCGAAUCUUUGAACGCACAUUGCGCCCGCCAGUAUUCUGGCGGGCAUGCCUGUUCGAGCGUCAUUUCAACCAUCAAGCCCCCGGCUUGUGUUGGGGACCUGCGGCUGCCGCAGGCCCUGAAAACCAGUGGCGGGCUCGCUAGUCACUCCGAGCGUAGUAAUACAUCUCGCUCAGGGCGUGCUGCGGGUUCCGCCCGUUAAAAAGCCUUAUUUACCCAAGGUUGACCUCGGAUCAGGUAGGAAGACCCGCUGAACUUAAGCAUAUCAAUAAGCGGAGGA